GUGCUUGCUUUGGUCGCACAUAUACUAAAACUUGGCACAAUACAGAGAAGCUUAACAUGGCAAGGAUGACAUGCACAUUUGUGAAGCAUUCCAUAUUUUU
rnacentral:snRNA from 1 species